rnacentral:rRNA from 1 species
GGAGAGUUUGAUCCUGGCUCAGGAUGAACGCUGGCGGCGUGCCUAAAACAUGCAAGUCGAGUGCACUUCGGGUGCACGGCGAACGGGUGAGUAAUACAUUGGCAUCUGUCCUUGUCUCGGGGAUAACCCAUCGAAAGGUGGAAUAAUACCCGAUAGCCCGUGCUUUGCACGGAAUUUCUAAAUCCGAAUUUUUAAAUUCUAAACAAAUUCCAAAUUCAAAAAUUUCAAACAAGAAUAAGUUUUGAACAUUUGAACUUCAAUCAUUGGAUAUUGUUUAGUGCUUAGGAUUUUAAGAUUUAGUGCUUCCGCGCAGAGCGCGGUAAAGCUCCGGCGGAAAAGGAGGAACCUAUGUCCUAUCAGCUAGUUGGUGAGGUAAUGGCUCACCAAGGCGACGACGGGUAGCUGGAUCGAGAGGUUGACCAGCCACACUGGGACUGAGACACGGCCCAGACUCCUACGGGAGGCAGCAGUUAGGAAUAUU